AUCCUCUUAAUUCUCAAAUUUCUUGUGAUAUAUUUGUAGAUCUUGUUGUUGUGGUCAUGCUGAGCUUCGAAUCAUAAAAUUCCAUGCACUAUUGAAUGAGUUAGGGUUGUUUAAAGUUUUGUGCAUGAAUAUUGUUUGCUUCGAUUCGCUCAUGAUAGUUGGAAUUAGGAUAAACCAUGCAUGGAUUCGUGACCUAGGAUGAAAGAUCUACACAAU
rnacentral:lncRNA from 1 species